rnacentral:piRNA from 1 species
GCCAGGAUUCUGGAGGUAGGAGCUC